rnacentral:rRNA from 1 species
UUCGGACCAAGAGACCGGCGCACGGGUGCGUAACGCGUAUGCAAUCUACCUUUUACAGAGGGAUAGCCCAGAGAAAUUUGGAUUAAUACCUCAUAGUAUUAUGAAAUGGCAUCAUUUUAUAAUUAAAGUCACAACGGUAAAAGAUGAGCAUGCGUCCCAUUAGCUAGUUGGUAAGGUAACGGCUUACCAAGGCUACGAUGGGUAGGGGUCCUGAGAGGGAGAUCCCCCACACUGGUACUGAGACACGGACCAGACUCCUACGGGAGGCAGCAGUGAGGAAUAUUGGACAAUGGGCGCAAGCCUGAUCCAGCCAUGCCGCGUGCAGGAUGACGGUCCUAUGGAUUGUAAACUGCUUUUAUACAGGAAGAAACACUGGUUCGUGAACCAGCUUGACGGUACUGUAAGAAUAAGGAUCGGCUAACUCCGUGCCAGCAGCCGCGGUAAUACGGAGGAUCCAAGCGUUAUCCGGAAUCAUUGGGUUUAAAGGGUCCGUAGGCGGUUUAAUAAGUCAGUGGUGAAAGCCCAUCGCUCAACGGUGGAACGGCCAUUGAUACUGUUAAACUUGAAUUAUUAGGAAGUAACUAGAAUAUGUAGUGUAGCGGUGAAAUGCUUAGAGAUUACAUGGAAUACCAAUUGCGAAGGCAGGUUACUACUAAUGGAUUGACGCUGAUGGACGAAAGCGUGGGUAGCGAACAGGAUUAGAUACCCUGGUAGUCCACGCCGUAAACGAUGGAUACUAGCUGUUGGAAGCAAUUUCAGUGGCUAAGCGAAAGUGAUAAGUAUCCCACCUGGGGAGUACGUUCGCAAGAAUGAAACUCAAAGGAAUUGACGGGGGCCCGCACAAGCGGUGGAGCAUGUGGUUUAAUUCGAUGAUACGCGAGGAACCUUACCAAGGCUUAAAUGUAGUUUGACCGAUUUGGAAACAGAUCUUUCGCAAGACAAAUUACAAGGUGCUGCAUGGUUGUCGUCAGCUCGUGCCGUGAGGUGUCAGGUUAAGUCCUAUAACGAGCGCAACCCCUGUUGUUAGUUGCCAGCGAGUCAUGUCGGGAACUCUAACAAGACUGCCAGUGCAAACUGUGAGGAAGGUGGGGAUGACGUCAAAUCAUCACGGCCCUUACGCCUUGGGCUACACACGUGCUACAAUGGCCGGUACAGAGAGCAGCCACUGGGCGACCAGGAGCGAAUCUAUAAAACCGGUCACAGUUCGGAUCGGAGUCUGCAACUCGACUCCGURARCUGGAAUCGCUAG